GUCCACGCCCUAAACGAUGGAUACUAGGCGUAAGAGGUAUCGACCCCUCUUGUGCCGCAGCUAACGCAUUAAGUAUCCAGCCUGGGGAGUACGGCCGCAAGGUUGAAACUCAAAUGAAUUGACGGGGACCCCGCACAAGCGGUGGAGCAUGUGGAUUAAUUCGAUACUAACCGAAGAACCUUACCCAGGUUUGACAUCGAUUGAAAGCUCUAGAGAUAGGGCCCUCCCUCACAAGGGGACAUGAAGACACUUGUUGCAUGGCUGUCGU
rnacentral:rRNA from 1 species